UUCGUUAGCGACAUUGUUGUAUUAGAAGAAGCGAGUUACAUUGACACUUUUCCCAUCAACCAAAGAAACUAUACUGAAUGCUAGUAGUGCUGCCAGUACUGGAAAACAGUUGAACCUGAUAACAGUCACAUGAUAGACGAGUAGUAGAGUACGCGCACACCAUUACAAAGGAUGACUAAUGGCGCGUCCUACAACACAUCGGGGCUAUCGAGUUAGAUAAGUUUCAUUGCUGACCCGCGUAUGGUUGAAUCGACCCACACACACACACACAGGCACGCACCGAAAUGUUCCAAUUGUGUCCAUUAAGGUACGGUGGUGUGCGAGAAAGACCCAACGCACAGCACAAGCCGCUCCACCGACAUUUACAUUUGAUUAGAUGCUUUUACGCAGCUAGGCAUGUAAGCGGCCAAGGUGGAGAGGGAGGGCGCGAAGCUACAGCGAACAGUUUGCCGGUGAAUGAAUGUGAAUGUGUUGGGCGGUCUCUUCCCCGGCCCCAGCGCACAAGCCUUUUGCCAUCGGGCCACACCAUUAUUAUUAGCGCAGCCGCGGCGUAAUUUCUGACGUUCCCAUCGGGGCAGCUGACGCGUCCUUUGGGCCUGACACGGCCCGUGCGGCUCAUCUUCGCUUCACUGCUCGAAGACACACACAAAGCCGCUUGCCAAAAGACACACACACACACACACACACGGUGUGGCCUUUUCGGUGUGAAAGGGGAGAAGGUUGGUUGAGCACAACAGUGCGGCCGCUUGCAGCAUUAAAACAUGUGCAAGUUUAUGGUUGGUGGUGGUGGUGGUGGUAGUGCCCGUCAACAAGAGGCAAUGAGAAAGAAGAAUCUUUCCAGUCAUGCUGGCAGAUUGUUCAUCUUCUCUACAAACAACCAAAACAACGGCAGCAGAAGCAGCAGCGAGAAGGAACGGGGUUUGUGCUUGAGAUGAGGCUUGAGACGCGCAAAAGCCUGAGCGCGCUUCACAAAACCGGUUCAACUCAAGACGGAGUUUGGGGCCAGAACGUAGCCACUCUUCACAAACCUUCUGCUCUGCCCCCUCCGCGAGAUGACCUCCCUUUGAGACCCCCGAAAGCAACACGAAAGAAAAGAAACCCAUGUAUAGAUGUGUGUGCGCUUCCAUCACAACUAUCUGGGGAAAUACCAAAGCAUGGCGCAGGAGACCGGUUUUUUACGCACGGACAGGGGAGCGAGCACGGGUUUGUUUUUAUUUCCCUCCAUCCUCCCAAAAAAGGGGUUCCAUUUUUCAGCCCAACCGAACGCUCCGGAUCAUCUCUCUGAUGACCAUAAACAUGGUGUGGUGCGCUUCUUGGGUGUGUUGGGUGUCAGGCUUUUGCAUCUUCGCUACUAGGGACGGGACAAGAACUUGCCAAGUUGUGGCCCUCUGGGGCCGAGGCGCGUUUUAGUUGCCUGUAAUACAAGCACACACACGGACAUUGGCUUGUAACGGGACCAUCAUCAUCAUUAUCAUCAGCCGAACGCGCGCCCCGGUCAGGGGAGACCAACCACCAUUCCGAUAACAUCUUCGAUAGAGCAGCGUACCCCUUCGAACGAGCAGUGAGUUAAUGGAAAUGCCUAAGAAAAUGUAACCGGCCUGCGAAGGAAACGGAGAUUGCAGCCGCGAUUGGCCCGCGCGGCCGCUCGCGUACACGCCAACCUUGAGCGGGGACGACGAUUUUGUGUUUUGUGUGGCUGGGGCUAGCAGAAAAUGUAAUUUUCUUUUCGCGCGCACCUCGCUACGUAACGAAAAGGCUCGUUUUUUUUUUUUGUUUGUUUUUUUUUACGUUUAUUUUGGACAGCUGACGGAAUAUGGACCGUGCAAGUGGGAAGGUUAGUGAGACGGCGACGAGUGACUCAUCGUGACAUCGAAUACAGAAACUUGUAAGCACAAAAGCGCUCCAACCAAUGCACCAAUUUACAUUUAGAUGUGAGGCCUUUUUUCCCUUGGAACACGG